rnacentral:rRNA from 1 species
GACAGAGGUGCCGAGCGUUAGGCGGAAUCACUGGGCUUAAAGCGUGUGUAGGCGGGCGGGCAAGUACCUUGUGAAAUCCCACGGCUCAACCGUGGAACGGCUGGGUAUACUGCCUGUCUUGAGCCAACUAGGGGCGAGCGGAACAGACGGUGGAGCGGUGAAAUGCGUAGAUAUCGUCUGGAACGCCAAAGGUGAAAACAGCUCGCUGGGGUUGUGCUGACGCUGAGACACGAAAGCGUGGGUAGCAAACAGG